rnacentral:rRNA from 1 species
GUGGAUUAGAUACCCGGGUAGUCCACGCCCUAAACGAUGUCAACUAGCUGUUGGGGCCUUCGGGCCUUGGUAGCGCAGCUAACGCGUGAAGUUGACCGCCUGGGGAGUACGGUCGCAAGAUUAAAACUCAAAGGAAUUGACGGGGACCCGCACAAGCGGUGGAUGAUGUGGAUUAAUUCGAUGCAACGCGAAAAACCUUACCUACCCUUGACAUGUCUGGAAUCCCGAAGAGAUUUGGGAGUGCUCGCAAGAGAACCGGAACACAGGUGCUGCACGGCCGUCGACAACU